rnacentral:tRNA from 1 species
GGCUUCAUGGUCUAGUGGUAUGAUUCUCGCUUUGGGUCGCAUCAACCUGCAAUCUUGCGAGAGGCCCCGCGUUCGAAUCGCGGUGGAGCCC